UACGUGGGGUGCGAGCGUUGUCCGGAAUCACUGGGCGUAAAGGGCGCGUAGGUGGUUUGAUAAGGGUGUGGUGAAAGUCCGGGGCUCAACCCCGGAUCUGCCGUGCCGACUGUCAAACUCGAGGGCUGUAGAGGCAGACGGAAUUCCGGGUGUAGCGGUGGAAUGCGUAGAGAUCCGGAGGAAGACCGGUGGCGAAGGCGGUCUGCUGGGCAGUUUCUGACACUGAGGCGCGACAGCGUGGGGAGCAAACAGG
rnacentral:rRNA from 1 species